GACGAACGCUGGCGGCGUGCUUAACACAUGCAAGUCGAACGGAAAGGCUCCAGCUUGCUGGAGUACUCGAGUGGCGAACGGGUGAGUAACACGUGGGUGAUCUGCCCUGCACUUCGGGAUAAGCCUGGGAAACUGGGUCUAAUACCGGAUAGGAUCGCACUUUGGUGUGUGUGGUGGAAAGGUUUUUCUGGUGUGGGAUGAGCUCGCGGCCUAUCAGUUUGUUGGUGGGGUAAUGGCCUACCAAGACGGCGACGGGUAGCCGGCCUGAGAGGGUGGACGGUCGCAUUGAGACUGAGAGACGGCCCAGACUCCUACGGGAGGCAGAUGUGGGGAAUAUUGCACAAUGGGGGAAGCCCGGAUGCAGCGACGCCGCGUGGGGGAUGAAGGCCUUCGGGUUGUAAACUCCUUUCGCUAGGGACGAAGCUUUUUGUGACGGUACCUAGAGAAGAAGCACCGGCUAACUACGUG
rnacentral:rRNA from 1 species